CCACGGAAGUUGAACCAGACUCCAUCCGCGGCAGCUUCAGGGCAUUCAGUUUUUUCCCCUUCUCUAUCUCCACCGCAGAUUGAUUGUGGGUUUGGUGCUGCACGGCUUGUGGGAGUUGUUGGAGUUCUGAGUUGCCGACCACUGAAUUAAAAGGACAAAGGAGCAAUCUCCAUUUCUAGUGCUAGUGCGAAAGAGGAGUCCAAAGCUGUAUUAUCAAGUUUGUGUGCUUU